GGCCCAAUGGUCUAGUCGCAUGAUUCCUGCUUCGGGUGCAGGAGGUCCCGGGUUCAAUUCCCGGUUGGGCCC